ensembl:lncRNA
AUGGCACAUGGGAAGCAGGGUGAUGUGGCUUCAUACACCGUAAGCAACCAUUCUCGUAUUCUGGGAUCCAAUUCGCAAGGCCACACUGAAAAUCUCCUGUCAAAAAAACAAACACUGAAACUGUGCGUUUGCCAGAGGGAUUGCCAUUGUACUCCGUCCCAGUUCCACCAAAGGAUUUUGACUCAAUUUCAAGGAAACAAUAACACAGGUAGGGUGGAUAACAUCUCAAUUUCCUUGUGGGAGAACGAUCCAUUUAACUUUGGCACAGACUGUAACUAAAAGGUCUGGUGGGUCUUUAAUUGACUCUCAACACAGCAAUUUCUGGAGCAACGCAGAUGGACCAGCCAGCACCACCAGUAUCAUCAUGGCUGGAGGUCGAUGUGGAUUUGGGUUUCGCCCUCUUUUUUCUCUUACUUCUCUGCCUUUUUUUGGUGGUAACCAUUGUGCGUUGCGCUCAAACAGUUGUGGAUCCAUACGGAGCCAUUUCCACCUCCACCUACCAGGAGGAGCAGAUAAAUAACUGAUAUCUGAUCUCGCCAAUCCAACACAAAGGACUUCAUGAAACGUCUGUGUCCAGAAUGGAAGUCUGUGCAUUAUGCAAUGAUAAAUAAUUGUCAAAUGGCCUAAUUUGUCACAUGAUAUCAUUACAUCAUUUCAAACAUGAAAUGAAGUCAGUGUUAUGCCAGAAAUGAAUAAAAUACAAGUAUUUUAUUGUAAUACAUUUAUAAGAAAAUAUACUGUAGCAGUCUUUAAAACUAUUUUAUUUAAAUCAGUGUUUUACUUAACGUUUCUUUGUAAUUAUUUGUGAAAUUUACAAGCAACUUUUGAGUGAAAUGUUUUAUACAUCUUACACCAUUUGUAGCAUAUACUGCGCACUUUAAUAUUAUUUUGUGUCCUGUCUUCUUUUUGUAUUAUAUUCACACUUCUUACAUUGCAUUUAUAUUCAUAGGAGACAGUUUCCUACCAAAGGGACUAAAAAUACAGAGAACAAAUCAAUGUCUACCAGAUAUUUUUAAAUUGUAAAUAAGUACAAGAACUGGUUUUUGCACAAUAGGGUAGAGUGGGGGAAACCGUUUUUUCUCAAAAUAACCACAAGAUAAAGUCAAGAUAAAUGUUUAUUGCAACUAUGGACUAUGUUGACAAGAGUGAUGUAGAAGUAUUCUCUAUGAAGCUUACAUUGGUGAUGUACAGGAGGAAAAAAAUGGAUUUCACACACUGCAAAAAAUGGCUUAUCUUAGUAUUUAUCGCAUAUUAACUAACCUAAAUUUAAAAAUUGCUGUUGUUACGUUGUUACGGUAAUGUUUGUAAGUGAUGGUGGCCAAGAUAUUUGUUUCACUUUCUUCUUAAAGGAAUUUUCUUGAUCUUAGAAAAGAUCCUAUUC